GGAGUUAGGAAAUGUAAGUGCGCUAAUAUCGCAUUUAUUUGACGAAGGCUCCAAAGGAAGUCACGGCUAACUCUGUGCCAGCAGCCGCGGUAAUACAGAGGUGGCAAGCGUUGUUCGGAAUUAUUGGGCGUAAAGAGCACGUAGGUGGGUUUGUAAGUCAGAUGUGAAAGCCUUCUGUUCAACGGAAGAAUUGCAUCUGAAACUGCGAGUCUUGAGUGUAGGAGGGGAGAGUGGAA
rnacentral:rRNA from 1 species